rnacentral:rRNA from 1 species
GAAGAAGCUGCGGCUAACUACCUGCCAACAUCCGCGGUAAUACGUAGGCGGCAAGCGUUGUUCGGAGUUACUGGGCGUAAAGGGUGCGUAGAGCGGGUUUGUAAGUCUGGUGUGAAAUCUCCCGGCUCAACUGGGAGGGUGCGCCGAAUACUGAGGGGCUAGAGUGUGGGAGAGGAAAGUGGAAUUCCUGGUGUAGCGGUGAAAUGCGUAUAUAUCUGGAGGAACACCGGUGGUGUAAACGGCUUUCUGGACCAUUACUGACGCUGAGGCACGAAAGCGUGGGUAGCAAACAGGAUUAGAUACCCUGGUAGUCCACGCCCUAAACGAUGCAUAUUUGGUGUGGGUCAUUCAAUUGAUCUGUGCCGGAGCUAACGCGUUAAAUAUGCCGCCUGGGGAGUACAGUC